UUAAAUGGCCGCAGUAUUUUGACUGUGCAAAGGUAGCAUAAUCAUUAGUUUCUUAAUUAGAAGCUGGAAUGAAAGGUUGAACGAAAAAAUAACUGUCUCUUUAUAAAUUUAUUAGAAUUUUAUUUUUAAGUUAAAAAGCUUAAAUAUAUUUAAAAGACGAGAAGACCCUAUAGAGUUUUAUAUAAAUUUUUAUAAUAACUUUAUUUAUAAUUAUAAAAAUUUUAUGAUUAUUUAUAUUUAAUUGGGGUGAUUGAAAAAUUUAAUAAACUUUUUUUUAAAUUAAACAUUUUUAUAUGAUUAAUUGAUCCAUUAUUAAUGAUUAAAAGAUUAAAUUACCUUAGGGAUAACAGCGUAAUUUCUUUUUAGAGUUCUAAUCGAUAAAGAAGUUUGCGACCUCGAUGUUGGAUUAAAAUAUAGUUUUGGUGUAGAAGCUAAAAUAUUAGGUCUGUUCGACCUUUGAAAUUUUACAUGAUCUGAGUUUAAACCGGUGUGAGCCAGGUUGGUUUCUAUCUUUAAAUAAUUAAAAUAUUUUAGUACGAAAGGACCAAAUAUUUAAAAUAUUUUUAAAAUAUUGAAUAAUAUUAAUUU
rnacentral:rRNA from 1 species